AUUGAACGCUGGCGGCAGGCCUAACACAUGCAAGUCGAGCGGAGCUGCGGGCGGGUGAGUGAUGCCUAGGAAUCUGCCUUGUCGUGGGGGAUAACGUCAGGCAACGGGCGGUAAUACCGCAUACUAUCAGAUGAGCCUAGGUCGGUUUCGCUAGUUGGUGGAGUAAGUGCCUACCAAGGCGACGAUCCGUAACUGGUCUGAGAGGAUGAUGAGUCACACUAGAACUGAGACACGGUCCAGACUCCUACGGGAGGCAGCAGUGGGGAAUAUUGGACAAUGGGCGAAAGCCUGAUCCAGCCAUGCCGCGGGUGUGAAGAAGGUCUUCGGAUUGUAAAGCACUUUAAGUUGGGAGGCGUUACCAACAGAAUAAGCACCGGCUAACUUCGUGCCAGCAGCCGCGGUAAUUC
rnacentral:rRNA from 1 species